rnacentral:rRNA from 1 species
GACGUAGGGCGCGAGCGUUGUCCGGAAUUAUUGGGCGUAAAGCGCGUGUAGGCGGCUUUGCAAGUCGGGUGUGAAAGCCCUCAGCUUAACUGAGGAAGGGCGCCCGAAACUGCAGAGCUUGAGUACCGGAGAGGAUGGUGGAAUUCCCCAAGUAGAGGUGAAAUUCGUAGAUAUGGGGAGGAACACCGGUGGCGAAGGCGACCAUCUGGACGGAUACUGACGCUGAGACGCGAAAGCGUGGGUAGCAAACAGG